UAAGUGCUACCUUGUUUGGGCGA
rnacentral:miRNA from 1 species